rnacentral:rRNA from 1 species
UAGAAAGGGCGCACGGUGGAUGCCUUGGCACUAGGAGCCGAAGAAGGACGGGACUAACACCGAUAUGCUUUGGGGAGCUGUACGUAAGCGUUGAUCCAGAGAUUUCCGAAUGGGGGAACCCACUAUCUUUAGUCGGAUAGUAUCCUUACGUGAAUACAUAGCGUAAGGAAGGCAGACCCAGGGAACUGAAACAUCUAAGUACCUGGAGGAAGAGAAAGAAAAAUCGAUUUCCUGAGUAGCGGCGAGCGAAACGGAAAGAGCCCAAACCAAGAAGCUUGCUUCUUGGGGUUGUAGGACACUCUAUACGGAGUUACAAAAGAAAGUUAUAAAUGAAGCGGUCUGGAAAGGCCCGCCAAAGACGGUAACAGCCCGGUAGUUGAAAUGGCUUUCCCUCCAGAGUGGAUCCUGAGUACGGCGGAACACGUGAAAUUCCGUCGGAAUCCGGGAGGACCAUCUCCCAAGGCUAAAUACUCCCUAGUGACCGAUAGUGAACCAGUA